UACGUAGGGGGCAAGCGUUGUCCGGAAUCAUUGGGCGUAAAGAGCGCGUAGGCGGUCCGGUAAGUCCGCUCUGAAAGUCCGGGGCUCAACCCCGGGAGGCGGGCGGAUACUGUCGGGCUAGAGUCCGGAAGAGGCGAGUGGAAUUCCUGGUGUAGCGGUGAAAUGCGUAGAUAUCAGGAGGAAUACCGGUGGUGCAGACGGCUCUCUGGACCGCAACUGACGCUGAGACACGAAAGCGUGGGUAGCAAACAGG
rnacentral:rRNA from 1 species